rnacentral:rRNA from 1 species
GACAGAGGGUGCAAACGUUGUUCGGAAUUACUGGGCGUAAAGCGCGUGUAGGCGGCGCGGAAAGUCGGAUGUGAAAGCCCUGGGCUUAACCUAGGAAGUGCAUUCGAAACUCCCGUGCUUGAGUUCUGGAGAGGAAGGCGGAAUUCUCGGUGUAGAGGUGAAAUUCGUAGAUAUCGAGAGGAACACCGGUGGCGAAGGCGGCCUUCUGGACAGUGACUGACGCUGAGACGCGAAAGCGUGGGGAGCAAACAGG